rnacentral:lncRNA from 1 species
AUAGAAAUUUUGGAUGCAUCCAUUGCUCCAUAAAUCAAUUAUAAAAUAUGCAUCAAGAUAAAUUUCUAUAGUACAAUAAAUUAUUUAAACAUUUUAUAUUAUAUAUAUUAUAUCAUAUUUCAUUUCACAAUACUAAUUAUCAGAUAUUCUAUCAAUCAUCUAAUAUACUUUGUGGCGUAUGAAAUAUUAGUGUACACCACGUGCAAGCAAAAAUUUUCUCUUUCUUGAAAUUAUGAGUGCACCCCAUAAGUAAACGAUAUUGAAAAAAACUAAAAUUUUAUUCAUAAAAAUCAUAUAUGCUAGAUCAUAUUUAACGAUAUGGAUCGUUGAUUUGAACAUCCUAAGAUCGAAAACGAGACUAUAGUACCGAAAUUCCGGUACUAUAGAUAGUAUAAUAGCCUCAU